CUGACUUCCUGGUCUGCCGCCCUGCUCCAGCAGAGCCAGCCAUCUGGAUGACAAGAGCAGAGUGAGAAAUGCAAGGGACUGAUAUCAUUGUCUAGAACCAGCGCAGGAGAGCGUAUCCCUCUCUCCCGCACAUCCUGGCUGCGACUGCGACGUGCCUUUCCCUGCCGCUGACGCAGCACAGCGGAGCUGACCGCAGGAGGGGACCAGGGUCCCGACCAGGAGCUCAUCCAGGCCUGGGAGCGGUGUCAAGCUCUUCAUUUGCCUGGGGCUCAUUUUUCCUGCUGUAGAGAUGUAUGAAUAAAGUGACUAUUGCCUCAUGUGGAACCCUGGAAAAACACCUUCUCCAGAGCACUGCAGACGGCUGUGAAGGAGAGGGGAGCUGGGCAACUCCCAGUUAGAAGCAGUAACUGGAUCACAGGAGACACGCACCAUCCUUUCCCGAUGCCCUUCUCUGGUGACUUGUCAGGUCAGUUCCUGAGCCGUCGGGGGAAUUGCGGGUGGCAUUUGCUGUGGCUGCCUUG